rnacentral:rRNA from 1 species
UACGGGGGGGGCAAGCGUUGCUCGGAAUCACUGGGCGUAAAGCGCACGUAGGCGGACUUUUAAGUCGGUGGUGAAAUCCUGGAGCUCAACUCCAGAACUGCCUUCGAUACUGAGAGUCUCAGAGUCCGGGAGAGGUGAGUGGAACUCCGAGUGUAGAGGUGAAAUUCGUAGAUAUUCGGAAGAACACCAGUGGCGAAGGCGGCUCACUGGCCCGGUACUGACGCUGAGGUGCGAAAGCGUGGGGAGCAAACAGG